AGAGUUUGAUCAUGGCUCAGAUUGAACGCUGGCGGCAGGCCUAACACAUGCAAGUCGAGCGGUAGCACAGAGAGCUUGCUCUCGGGUGACGAGCGGCGGACGGGUGAGUAAUGUCUGGGAAACUGCCUGAUGGAGGGGGAUAACUACUGGAAACGGUAGCUAAUACCGCAUAACGUCGCAAGACCAAAGUGGGGGACCUUCGGGCCUCAUGCCAUCAGAUGUGCCCAGAUGGGAUUAGCUAGUAGGUGGGGUAACGGCUCACCUAGGCGACGAUCCCUAGCUGGUCUGAGAGGAUGACCAGCCACACUGGAACUGAGACACGGUCCAGACUCCUACGGGAGGCAGCAGUGGGGAAUAUUGCACAAUGGGCGCAAGCCUGAUGCAGCCAUGCCGCGUGUAUGAAGAAGGCCUUCGGGUUGUAAAGUACUUUCAGCGGGGAGGAAGGCGGUGAGGUUAAUAACCUUACUGAUUGACGUUACCCGCAGAAGAAGCACCGGCUAACUCCGUGCCAGCAGCCGCGGUAAUACGGAGGGUGCAAGCGUUAAUCGGAAUUACUGGGCGUAAAGCGCACGCAGGCGGUCUGUCAAGUCGGAUGUGAAAUCCCCGGGCUCAACCUGGGAACUGCAUUCGAAACUGGCAGGCUAGAGUCUUGUAGAGGGGGGUAGAAUUCCAGGUGUAGCGGUGAAAUGCGUAGAGAUCUGGAGGAAUACCGGUGGCGAAGGCGGCCCCCUGGACAAAGACUGACGCUCAGGUGCGAAAGCGUGGGGAGCAAACAGGAUUAGAUACCCUGGUAGUCCACGCCGUAAACGAUGUCGAUUUGGAGGUUGUGCCCUUGAGGCGUGGCUUCCGGAGCUAACGCGUUAAAUCGACCGCCUGGGGAGUACGGCCGCAAGGUUAAAACUCAAAUGAAUUGACGGGGGCCCGCACAAGCGGUGGAGCAUGUGGUUUAAUUCGAUGCAACGCGAAGAACCUUACCUGGUCUUGACAUCCACA
rnacentral:rRNA from 1 species